rnacentral:rRNA from 1 species
CACGUAGGGGGCGAGCGUUGUCCGGAUUUAUUGGGCGUAAAGAGCUCGUAGGCGGCUCAGUAAGUCGGGUGUGAAAACUCCAGGCUCAACCUGGAGACGCCACCCGAUACUGCUGUGGCUAGAGUCCGGUAGGGGAGCAUGGAAUUCCUGGUGUAGCGGUGAAAUGCGCAGAUAUCAGGAGGAACACCAGUGGCGAAGGCGGUGCUCUGGGCCGGAACUGACGCUGAGGCUCGAAAGCGUGGGGAGCAAACAGG